UACAGAGGUCCCAAGCGUUGUUCGGAUUCACUGGGCGUAAAGGGUGCGUAGGCGGUCGGGUAAGUCUGAUGUGAAAUCUCAGAGCUCAACUCUGAAACUGCACUCGAUACUGCUCUGCUUGAGGACUGGAGAGGAGACUGGAAUUCACGGUGUAGCAGUGAAAUGCGUAGAUAUCGUGAGGAAGACCAGUGGCGAAGGCGGGUCUCUGGACAGUUCCUGACGCUGAGGCGCGAAGGCCAGGGGAGCAAACGGG
rnacentral:rRNA from 1 species